AUUGAACGCUAGCGGGAUGCCUUACACAUGCAAGUCGAGCGGAGCGGCGGACGGGUGAGUAAUGUCUGGGAAACUGCCUGAUGGAGGGGGAUAACUACUGGAAACGGUAGCUAAUCCCACAUACCAUCAGAUGUGCCCCGAUGGGAUUAGCUAGUUGGUGGGGUAACGGCUCCCCUAGGCGACGAUCCGUAACUGGUCUGAGAGGAUGAUCAGUCACACUGGAACUGAGACACGGUCCAGACUCCUACGGGAGGCAGCAGUGGGGAAUAUUGGACAAUGGGCGAAAGCCUGAUCCAGCCAUGCCGCGUGUGUGAAGAAGGUCUUCGGAUUGUAAAGCACUUUAAGUUGGGAGGCGUUACCAACAGAAUAAGCACCGGCUAACUUCGUGCCAGCAGCCGCGGUAAUAC
rnacentral:rRNA from 1 species